CACCCCAAACCACCGCAUCACAAGCCACCCCAUGUCAAACCACCGCACAAGCCCCCGUAUGUUCCUAAACCACCUUAUUCCCCAAGCCCUAAACCGCCUUACGUGCCAAAACCACCUCAUACUCCAGUCCCUAGGCCACCAUAUUUCCCCAAACCACCUUACACACCAAGGCCUAAGCCACCAUAUGCGCCAAAACCACCUUAUACGCCAACCCCUAAGCCACCAUAUUUCCCCAAACCACCUUACACACCAAGGCCGAAGCCACCAUAUGUGCCAAAACCACCUUAUACGCCAGCCCCUAAGCCACCAUAUUUUCCCAAACCACCUUACACACCAAGGCCUAAGCCACCAUAUGCACCAAAACCACCUUAUACGCCAACACCUAAGCCACCAUAUUUCCCCAAACCACCUUACACACCAAGGCCUAAGCCACCGUACGUGCCAAAACCACCGUACACACCAAGGCCUAAGCCACCGUACGUGCCAAAACCACCAUACACACCAACCCCUAAGCCACCGUACGUGCCAAAACCACCUUACACCCCAACCCCUAAGCCACCGUACGUGCCAAAACCACCGUAUACCCCAACUCCUAAGCCACCGUACGUCCCAUCGCCACCUUAUACCCCUCGCCCUAAACCACCGUAUGUACCAUCACCAC
rnacentral:lncRNA from 1 species